AAAAAGAAACAAAACAGAAAAAAUAUAAAAAUAUAAAGCUUUGUACCUUUCGUAUCAGUACUAGAAACCAACGGCGGUGCGAGCUCUUGGUUAAUUGACGCAGGGCGCUAUAAAACACUUUAUAUUUUAUAAAACACUUUGUGUUUUAUAGCGCCCUGAUUGACGGUGUAGAUUUCACUUCGCAAUUCGCAUUUAUCUUUUCCAGUCGAUUCAUCGUCUUGGCUAGACAUACUCUUUAAAAUUCAACCUUAGACACAGCCUUAGACAAGCAAAUACAUGUGAAGAAUAUAUAUUUACUUGAAUAUUUUCACUGUAAAAACGAGG